CAUGAAGCUGGAAUUGCUAGUAAUCGCGGAUCAGCAAGCCGCGGUGAAUACGUUCCCGGGCCUUGUACACACCGCCCGUCACACCAUGAGAGUCGGGAACACCCGAAGUCCGUAGUCUAACCGCAAGGGGGCGCGGCCGAAGGUGGGUCCGGUAAUUGGGGUGAAGUCGUAACAAGGUAUC
rnacentral:rRNA from 1 species